rnacentral:rRNA from 1 species
AGUGAACGCUGGCGGUAGGCCUAACACAUGCAAGUCGAACGGCAGCACAGUAAGAGCUUGCUCUUACGGGUGGCGAGUGGCGGACGGGUGAGGAAUACAUCGGAAUCUACUUUUUCGUGGGGGAUAACGUAGGGAAACUUACGCUAAUACCGCAUACGACCUACGGGUGAAAGCAGGGGAUCUUCGGACCUUGCGCGAUUGAAUGAGCCGAUGUCGGAUUAGCUAGUUGGCGGGGUAAAGGCCCACCAAGGCGACGAUCCGUAGCUGGUCUGAGAGGAUGACCGGCAAAAUUGAAACUGAGAAACGGUCCAGACUCCUAGGGGAGGAAGAGGGGGGAAUUUUUGACCAAGGGGGGCAGGCCUAACCCGGCAAUACGGCUUGGGGAAGAAGGCCUUCGGGUUGUAAAGCCCUUUUGUUGGGAAAGAAAAGCAGCAGGUUAAUACCCCGCUGUUCUGACGGUACCCAAAGAAUAAGCACCGGCUAACUUCGUG